GACGAACGCUGGCGGCGUGCCUAAUACAUGCAAGUUGAGCGCUGAAGGUUGGUACUUGUACCAACUGGAUGAGCAGCGAACGGGUGAGUAACGCGUGGGGAAUCUGCCUUUGAGCGGGGGACAACAUUUGGAAACGAAUGCUAAUACCGCAUAAAAACUUUAAACACAAGUUUUAAGUUUGAAAGAUGCAAUUGCAUCACUCAAAGAUGAUCCCGCGUUGUAUUAGCUAGUUGGUGAGGUAAAGGCUCACCAAGGCGAUGAUACAUAGCCGACCUGAGAGGGUGAUCGGCCACAUUGGGACUGAGACACGGCCCAAACGCCUACGGGAGGCAGCAGUAGGGAAUCUUCGGCAAGGGACGAAAGUCUGACCGAGCAACGCCGCGUGAGUGAAGAAGGUUGUCGGAUCGGAAAACUCUGUUGGUAGAGAAGAACGUUGGUGAGAGUGGAAAGCUCAUCAAGUGACGGUAACUACCCAGAAAGGGACGGCUAACUACGUG
rnacentral:rRNA from 1 species